rnacentral:rRNA from 1 species
CUACGGGCGGCUGCAGUCGAGAAUCUUCCGCAAUGGACGAAAGUCUGACGGAGCGACGCCGCGUGCGGGAUGAAGGCCUUCGGGUUGUAAACCGCUGUCAGUGGGGAGGAAAUGCAUCAGGGUUCUCCCUGGUGUUUGACCGAUCCGCAGAGGAAGCGCAGGCUAAGUUCGUGCCAGCAGCCGCGGUAACACGAACUGCGCGAACGUUAUUCGGAAUCACUGGGCUUAAAGAGUUCGUAGGCGGCCUUUCAAGUCGGGUGUGAAAUCCCUCGGCUCAACCGAGGAAUUGCGCCUGAUACUGUUGGGCUUGAGGGGGAUAGGGGUGAGCGGAACUGAUGGGGGAGCGGUGAAAUGCGUUGAUAUCAUCAGGAACACCGGUGGCGAAGGCGGCUCACUGGAUCUCUUCUGACGCUGAGGAACGAAAGCUAGGGGAGCGAACGGGAUUAGAUACCCUUGUAGUC